AUGGUAUACACAAGGAAAGGGAAUACCUUGUUGAGGACAGUAGAUGAACUAAUUGAGCCCAACACUAAAUCAUGGGAUGAGGCGUUGAUUAGGAGCAUUUUCUUACCGGUGGACUCUGAGAGAAUCUUGAGAAUUCCUUUGUCUGAGCACUUAGCGGAGGACUUUGUGGCGUGGCACAAUACGAAAUCAUAUCUAUUUACAGUUCGAUCAGCGUAUUAUACGAAUUGGGAACACCAAUUCGGCUCUAGAGUGACUAGCAUUGAAGGACCAUCAUCAGUAAAUCCUGUAUGGGCCGCGGUUUGGAAUCUUCAAGUUCCCGGCAAAGUUAAAAUAUACAUUUGGAGGGCGCUUCGUGGUGUAAUUCCGGGGAUGUGUGUUCUGGCUAAUCGACACAUUAAAGUCCCACCUCAGUGCCCUAUUUGUAAAGGUGGUGCGGAGGACAUCAGGCAUCUGUUGUUUACUUGCACAAGAGCUCGAACAGUUUGGAAAGCGCUAGGGAUUGCUCAUCUUGUUGAUAAGGCCCUUGCUGUAGACCUCUUUGGUUCGGUGGUACUUGAGGAAAUAUUGAGAUGGCCGAAACAGAAGUCCCCAGUGAUUGGACAACUCGGAUUACAAGAAACGGUGGCAGUCGGUGCAUGGUAUAUUUGGUGGGAGAGACACGAGGCAAUAAAAGGUCAAAAAAUCAAACCACCAAUAUGCUCAGCUUUCUCUAUACAGGCGAUCACAGCUAAUUAUGCCGGUAAAAUCCUAGAUGACGCCAUGGAAAUUACAAGAUGGGAGAAGCCGACGAGCGGAUCAUAUAAGGUAAAUACCGAUGCAGCUUUCUUUGAAGAUGGAUCGGGUGCUGUGGAUGCAGUUGUCCGCGAUUCGAGAGGUCGUGCUGUUGCGGGGGUAGCCGAGUUGAUCCAUCAGGUGCAUGAUGCAGCCUCGGCAGAAGCAAUGGCAGUUAAGCGCGGCCUACAAUUGAUUCUUGACAUCGGAUGUUCGCGUGUACUCAUGGAAUCAGAUUGUCUUGAGAUUGUUCAAGCAUGCAAAGGAGACACUGACAUCCGAGCUCCAUACUCAGCGAUCUUGGCGGAUUGUUUUGAUUUAGCACAUGGAAUAACAUUGCCCUAG
rnacentral:rRNA from 1 species